rnacentral:piRNA from 1 species
UAUAACAUGUGCUCCAAUGUCAUAUAGGUUC